rnacentral:rRNA from 1 species
UAGGGAAUCUUCCACAAUGGGCGAAAGCCUGAUGGAGCAACGCCGCGUGUGUGAUGAAGGGUUUCGGCUCGUAAACACUGUUGUAAGAGAAGAAUGACAUUGAGAGUAACUGUUCAAUGUGUGACGGUAUCUUACCAGAAAGGAACGGCUAAAUACGUGCAAG